UGGGGAAUUUUGCACAAUGGGGGAAACCCUGAUGCAGCGACGCCGCGUGAUUUAGAAGGCCUUCGGGUUGUAAAAAUCUUUUCUAUGGGAAGAAAAUGACAGUACCAUAGGAAUAAGGACCGGCUAAUUACGUGCCAGCAGCCGCGGUAAUACGUAAGGUCCGAGCGUUGUCCGGAAUCAUUGGGCGUAAAGGGUACGUAGGCGGGUAAGCAAGUUAGAAGUGAAAUCCUAUAGCUCAACUAUAGUAAGCUUUUAAAACUGCUCAUCUUGAGGUAUGGAAGGGAAAGUGGAAUUCCUAGUGUAGCGGUGAAAUGCGCAGAUAUUAGGAGGAAUACCUGUGGCGAAGGCGACUUUCUGGCCAUAACCUGACGCUGAGGUACGAAAGCGUGGGUAGCAAACAGG
rnacentral:rRNA from 1 species